rnacentral:rRNA from 1 species
UACGUAGGGUGCGAGCGUUAAUCGGAAUUACUGGGCGUAAAGGGUGCGUAGGCUGAAGUACAAGUUAGAUGUGAAAUACCUGAGCUUAACUUAGGAGGUGCAUUUAAGACUGUACAUCUAGAGUUAGUAAGAGGAUGGGGGAAUUCCGAGUGUAGCAGUGAAAUGCGUAGAGAUUCGGAGGAACAUCAGUGGCGAUGGCGCCCAUCUGGGAUAUAACUGACGCUGAGGCACGAAAGCGUGGGGAGCAAACAGG